rnacentral:rRNA from 1 species
UGUGAAAGUGUAAAUAACUUCACCAAUAAAAGCUGGGUAAAACCGGUGCCAGCCGCCCCGGUAACACCGGCAGCUCGAGUGGUGAUCACUAUUAUUGGGCCUAAAGCGCCCGUAACCUGUUUGGUAAGUCCUUGGGCAAAUCCUGUCGCUUAACGGCAUGAAUUCUGAGGAUACUGUCUCACUUGAGGCCGAGAGAGGUCGGAGGUACUUCUGGGGUAGCGGUGAAAUGCUAUAAUCCUAGAGGGACCACCGGUGGCGAAGGCGUCCGACUAGAGCGGGCCUGAUUGUAAGGGACGAAAGCCAGGGGAGCGAACGGGAUUAGAUACCCCGGUAGUCCCUGGCCGUACACGCUGUGGGCUAGGUGUUGCAUGCUCUACGAGGGCGUGCAGUGCCGAAGAGAAGUUGAUAAGCCUACCGCCUGGGAAGUACUAUCGCAAGAUAGAAACUUAAAGGAAUUGGCGGGGGAGCACCACAAGGGGUGAAGUCUGCGGUUCAAUUGGAUUCAACGCCGGAAAUCUCACUGGAAGCGACGGCAGAAUGACAGCCAAGCUGAUGACUUUGCUUGACGAGCCGAGAGGAGGUGCAUGGCCGUCGUCAGCUCGUACCGUAAGGCGUCCUGUUAAGUCAGGCAACGAGCGAGACCCGUGCCCUUAUUUGACAGCUAGUCCCUGCGGGGACUAAGACCCAUUAAGGGAACCGCUGCUGAUAAAGCAGAGGAAGGAGCGAGCAACGAUAGGUCAGUAUGCCCCGAAUCCUCCAGGCUACACGCGGACUGCAAUGGCUAGUACAAUGGGUCCCAACUCCGAAAGGAGAAGGAAAUCCCAAAAGCUAGUCUUAGUUCGGAUUGUGGGCUGUAACUCGCCCACAUGAAGCCGGAAUCCCUAGUAAUCGCGUGUCAUUAUCGCGCGGUGAAUACGUCCCUGCUCCUUGCACACACCGCCCGUCACACCAC